GAUGAACGCUGGCGGCGUGCCUAAUACAUGCAAGUCGAGCGAACGGACGAGAAGCUUGCUUCUCUGACGUUAGCGGCGGACGGGUGAGUAACACGUGGAUAACCUACCUAUAAGACUGGGAUAACUUCGGGAAACCGGAGCUAAUACCGGAUAAUAUUUUGAACCGCAUGGUUCAAAAGUGAAAGACGGUCUUGCUGUCACUUAUAGAUGGAUCCGCGCUGCAUUAGCUAGUUGGUAAGGUAACGGCUUACCAAGGCAACGAUGCAUAGCCGACCUGAGAGGGUGAUCGGCCACACUGGAACUGAGACACGGUCCAGACUCCUACGGGAAGCAGCAGUAGGGAAUCUUCCGCAAUGGGCGAAAGCCUGACGGAGCAACGCCGCGUGAGUGAUGAAGGUCUUCGGAUCGUAAAACUCUGUUAUUAGGGAAGAACAUAUGUGUAAGUAACUGUGCACGUCUUGACGGUACCUAAUCAGAAAGCCACGGCUAACUACGUG
rnacentral:rRNA from 1 species